GACGAACGCUGGCGGCGUGCCUAAUACAUGCAAGUUGAGCGCUGAAGGUUGGUACUUGUACCGACUGGAUGAGCAGCGAACGGGUGAGUAACGCGUGGGGAAUCUGCCUUUGAGCGGGGGACAACAUUUGGAAACGAAUGCUAAUACCGCAUAAAAACUUUAAACACAAGUUUUAAGUUUGAAAGAUGCAAUUGCAUCACUCAAAGAUGAUCCCGCGUUGUAUUAGCUAGUUGGUGAGGUAAAGGCUCACCAAGGCGAUGAUACAUAGCCGACCUGAGAGGGUGAUCGGCCACAUUGGGACUGAGACACGGCCCAAACUCCUACGGGAGGCAGCAGUAGGGAAUCUUCGGCAAUGGACGAAAGUCUGACCAAGCAACGCCGCGUGAGUGAAGAAGGUUUUCGGAUCGUAAAACUCUGUUGGUAGAGAAGAACGUUGGUGAGAGUGGAAAGCCCAUCAAGUGACGGUAACUACCCAGAAAGGGACGGCUAACUACGUG
rnacentral:rRNA from 1 species